UUAUUUAAAAAUAUUAUCUAUUUAAAUACAUUAUAAAGCUUGAAGUGAUAUAAUAUUUCAACAAAUGUUAUAAUGGUCCUUUGUAGAUAAUUAUAAUAUAACAAAAACGCAAUAAUAAUCUGUCAACUGAUAUCAUUACUUUUUAGCAGUUGACAAACAGGGUGAUUUUUAAAUAGGAUGGAUAUACAUAAAUAUAUGAUUAUGUAUGUUUGUAUGCUAUGUUAAAAAGUAUUGUUAAAAUGGCGACCGAAAAUAAAUUAUAUCCGCAUAAUUAAAAAACGAUCAGUAUUAGAAGUUGAUUGGAAGCUCGAUAAUGCGUGCGAAAAGGUUCCUAUGCCAAAAAAUGAGGAAUAAUAUAAAUGUCAAAGUACAUAUGAUAUAUUUAUGACAAACAAAGAUUUUAAUUAAAAAAAUGUUGUAAAUUGAAGUAUGCACAUUAAAAAUAUUAAUUAUAAAAUAUCAAUAAUACGAUAUAUAUAUAUAUAUAUAUAUAUAUAUACAUACAUACACAUAUAUAUCGUCAUUAUCGAUUUAAAUAUGGUGAAACUAAAAACAAAUGUGUCCUUUAUCAAAGAUAAUAAGCCAAGAUUACGUAUUAAUCAAAAUAUAGUAAUAAAAAUAGGAUAUUGAUGUAAUGAUAUUAAUAACGCGUACUUUUAAGAUAAUUUUAAUAAGCAAAUUAAUUGAGAAAGUGAGCAACGUGACAUAGACACAUAGUGACAUAGAUGUAAAUAUCGUGAAGCGUUUUUUGCUAAGCUGUUAUACGGUACCAAACGAAUUUAAUAUAUUCUGUACAGAUUGUUUCUCAGGAUAGUUGUUACACAACUUGAAUAUUUCUUACUGUAUUUAUAGAAAAAAUUUUUCAGAACUAAAAAACAUAUAUUGUAUAUUGUUUAAUCUCAAACUUUUUUAACGCAAUUUAUUUUUUGUAUAGUUAAGAUAUUGUAAUUAAUAUGUAUAAUAAUAUUUGAGUAAAUUUUUAAGAUAUUUAUUUUUGAUAAAUGAUAGGAUUAAUGACAUUUUCUGAAAGUACAGUGUGAAAUUUUCAAGUUAUUUUUGGGAGCAUUCUAAUUAUGUCAUCUAUGUUAUAAGAAUGCACGGUUCCUUGAUUGUAGGAACAAUCAUACACUGAGCAAAUAUUAAGUAUGCAUAUGAUAAUGUUGUACUUUUUAUCUAUUGAAUCUCCGAAUUUAAUUUUUUUGUUUUUUCAUAAGUCUCGUCAUAUAUCUUGUCAAAUAAUAUUUUUGUUACCAUUUGCAAUAUUUUCUUUCUCUCUAUCUUACUAGCAUAUUUUUUUUCGUUUCAUUUUUAUUACAGUAUACGAUUCUAUUCGUUUACUUUCAUGCGACCAACUAUCCUAAUUAUUAUCGCGAGUCUGUAAACAUAUAAGAAUAAUACAAACUAACAUUUAUAUAUAUAUAUUUAUAUAGAUUUACGUAAAUAGAGAUAUAUAUAUUAUAUAUAUAAUAAAUGUAUAUAAUAUAUACUAUGUAUACAUAAUGAAUGUAUAAUUUCUCGGUUGUACAGAUCUGAGCGUUAUCUUCAAAAUGUUCUAUUUUAUAUAUAAUUAUUACAUUGCAUUCAAUGUAAGCGAUAUCUUCCAAUGCCGGCAUUGCAUCAUCGCGUUAACAAAACAUUUGUAACAUUAUGAGCUACCAUCAUUUAUAAAAGUGAAAAUGAAAAGGUUGUGAAGUCCGAGUGUCGGCAUCCUUAGAAGGAUUCGUCAGCUUCAUGAAUUUAUUUGUAAUAUGGAGAAGAAUAUGAGGUUGUGCUAAUGAAAAUUAAUAAAUUGUAUUGAGAAAGCUUUAAUAAACAUGUGUAAAAUUGGGUUUCACUUGAUGAGUUUUCAUUGUCGUUAAAUAAGUGAAAGAUUUUAUUUCAUUAAAUAUAAUAUUAUGAAUAUAAUAUGUAAUAUAUGUUAUAUAUGGUAAUAUUAUGUUACUAUAGUAACCAAGUAUAUACCAACAAAUAUCCGGACUUCAAGGUUUGAUUAAGCACGCGAUCGAAUUUGUAUGAAAUGAAAUGUGAAAUAUAUGAAAUAUAUUUACACAUUUUUUAAUGUUAAAUAUAUAGAUUUAUAUAGAUUUUAUAUAAAAUUGUGAACGUUUUUACAUAUAUAUUUAUACAUAAAUUAAAAUAAUAAAUAAACAUAUAAUGAGAUUUAAAAUUUCUGCACAAAAUCGUAAUGGUCACAAGCGUUUAGUAACUUGUGUUGCAUGGAAUUCAACAGAAGAAAUUUAUUCUUGCGGAGAAGAUCAUUUAUUAAUAUCAUGGCAUUUGGAAGGUGGAAUUGCACAUUCCAAUAUUAUUACAGAAUUUCCUGAUGAUUUUUAUCCGACCGAUAUGCAAUGGCAUCCGCGACCAAAUUAUGCAGUGUUAAUUACAAAAAAACAAUCAUUGGAUAUUCUCUUAAUUACUACAGCUGAUGGAAAAUUUCAUUUAAUUAAUAAAAAUGGACGUAUAGAAAAAAGUGUAGAUGCUCAUAAAGGAGCAACAACAGUAGGUAGAUGGAGUAAUGAUGGCUCUGCUCUUUUGACUGCUGGAGAGGAUGGUUUGAUAAAAGUAUGGUCACGUAGUGGCAUGCUUCGUUCUAUUAUAGUUAAAGGAAUGUUUUCCAUAUUAUCUGCUGCUUGGAAUUUAGAUUGUACAACAGUAUUAUAUUCUCAAGGAGCUCACUUAACUUUUCAAUCACUUAAUUCUAAUUCCAAACCUCGAAAGUUAUUAGCACAUGAUGGUCUAAUUUUGGUUUUAUGUUGGAAUCACACUCAUGGAUUAAUCAUUUCUGGUGGGGAAGAUUGUAAAUAUAAGGUAUGGGAUUCUAAUGGUACUCAAUUAUUUUCUAGUAAUGUAGAGGAUCAUCCUAUUACAGCAUUAAGUUGGAGUUAUUCUGGAGAUUACUUUGCAGUUGGAUUAUUUAAUACAAUCAAACUUUGUGAUAAAACAGGAUGGUCUCAUUCAUUAGAAAAAAUUAAUUCUGGAAGCAUAUAUAGUAUUGCUUGGUCAAGUGAUAGUACUCAAGUAGCUAUGGCUUGCAGUAAUGGAAAUGUAUUAACAGGACAUAUAAUAGACAGGAGAUUGGAGUGGAAUAAUUAUGAAGCCACAUUGAUUAAAAGAAAAGUGAUUGAAAUCAGAGAUGUGGGUAAUGAAACACGAGAAGAAUUAGAGAUAUCAGAUCGUGUAGUUCAGCUGGAAUUUGGUUUUGAUUAUUUAGUUGUAAUUACACCAGCACAAUGUCAUGUUUAUUCGGUAAUAAACUGGAAUACUCCUGCCAUAUUUGAUUUGAAAAAUACUAGUGUAUCAGCAAUACUUCUUGCGGAAAAGCAUUUUUUAUUGAUUGAAUGGAAUUCUGUAUCAUUAUAUAGUUAUCAAGGUCGUUUAUUAGGAACUCCAAAAUGGAAAGGAAUGACACAGGAACGACUUUAUUCCCCUUGUAUAUCAGUAUGUUCCGAUACUUUAGUUAUACGAUCGCAAAGUAACGAAAAACUACUUCAUGUAUUGGAAAUGGCUUAUAAUAAACCUAUAACAGAAAGCCAGACUUAUACACAUCUUCAAAAUAUUACAAGAGUUGCAUUAAAUCACAUUGGCGGUGUAAUAGAUCGACAAGUAGCACUAAUCGAUAUAAAUAAAGAUUUAUUUCUUGUUUCUAUAAGAACCACUGGUUUUGGUAGAGUAUGUAAAAUAGCUGCUAUGGCGCAAGAUAUUGCAUGGGCUACUGAUGCAAAUGUUUUAGCAGCGAUGUUAGAUGCAACAUUAUCUGUAUGGUUGUGUCCUAAUUGUGUACAUUAUAGCGAUCGUAAAAUUAUACGAAAGACAAGAAUCGAUAAAGAAAGCAGUGAAUUUGGUAAACAACCAAGUAUAGCAAAUGUUUAUAAUGGGAUAGUAAUGAUACGACGUGGUGAUGGAGCAUUAGUAGCUUCUUCCUUUUAUACAUUUUUUAUUAGUCUUUAUCAACAUAUUUUAAACAAGAAAUGGAAAGAAGCGUUAUCGCUUUGUCGAAUCGCUCAGAAUGAAAUAUUAUGGACUUGCAUGGCCGUUAUAGCAACUGAUAAUAAAGAAUUAAACGCUGCAGAAGAAGCAUAUGCAGCAAUUUCUCGAUAUGAUAAAGUUGAUUAUAUUCAAUAUAUAAAGAGUUUACCAAAUAAAACAGAAAGACUAGCAGAAAUGGCACUUUUAUCAGGAGAUUUGUUAACUGCAGAAGGUAUACUUUUGCAAAAUGGAUUAAUAGAGGAAGCUAUACGAAUUAAUAUCGAAAUAUACAAUUGGAAUAGGUACUUUCUUUAAUAUAAACAAAAUUUUUAAUAAAUAAUGUUUUUUUUUUAAUUUAUCAAUUAUUAAUUUAGAGCAUUAGAAUUGGCAAUUAGACAUAAAAAGCAAUUGGAUGAAGUAUUAAACACAAGAAAAAAAUAUCUUCAAAUAAUUAAUAAAAAAGAAACGAAUCAAAGUUUUCUUGCAUAUAUGGCAAAUGUUGCAAAGACACAAUGAGACCAAAACUAUUUUCACCAGGAGAUUAUCGAGGAUAUUUCAUUUAAACGAGAUGAAGAAUUAUUAGAAAUAGAAACACAAAAAAACGAAAUGUUUGAUCAAGAAAUACAUAUAUGAAAGCGUAACGGUAUUUU